UAUUAAUAUUAUGGCUGCCUAAUAAAAAAUGUGAUGUAAAGCAGAGGGCAGCUACGUCUACAUGUGCUUGCUGAUGAGGAACAGUACACAUAAAUGGUGACAGAUCCCAGAAUAAGAAAAUAUACAGAGGAAGCUGCAGCCAAUAUAUAUUCAACAUGUUACAUAAGUGAGAAACAGAUGUUUGUGGUUAUAAGUCACUGAGUUUUGGGAGCUAUUUGUUAUCACAGCAUAACUUAGUGAGAGCUGACUAAUGCAGAAGACUGGCAGAAGUUAGAAAGAUGGAUAAGGCCAAGUGUUGGUGGAGAUGUUCCCACAUACAGGAAUUUUACCAUUGCUGAUGGAGUCACUGUGUCAUUACUGCAGCCUUUUUGGAAAGCAUCUGUCACUACUUAGCCAAUUAAGAAAAUGCAUAUUCUAUAACCCAGCAAUUAUACCUCUGGGCAUGCUUGCAAUAUUUCUCCACCAAAUAUGAUGAUGGUUCCAGGUUUUCUAUAGAUACCAUUUAUCCAGAAGCAUUUGGCCUGAGAAGAUACCACACCCUCUCCAUCGUUUUCAUAAGAAUUGCCUACCAUCUACAGAUGAACCCACCCAAGCAAAGCCAGCAUGCUCUGCAUAGGAAGCCUGAGAUGAUGGAGUCCACAUGCUGUUUAUUUAGUCAUCAUAGCUUUAUGACUUGAAAAUGUUGACAGAGACAUGCAUCUACCAGUCACCAUGGCAGGGAUUCAAUAGCCCACUGUGCCACAGAGGGCAUGCCUUGGAUGUAGAGAGUGAAGACUUUCCACAACUUGUGAAUGAGCCCUCUGUGAGUUUAGCCAAAACAUUCAUGUCAAAGAAAUGGAAAUCUCAAAUAAAACCCAUCGCAGGCCAAGCUCAGGAGGGCUGGCUAGCCAACAAAUCCUGAACAAGGGGGUUCAAGGGAAAAGGAAAACAUGUGUUUCAUAGGCAUGUAUGAAAAUAAUCUUUUCUUCUAUAGCUUUUGAAAUGAGGAUAAUGAAAUAUCAGUUGGUCUUUGAGGAUGAUGAAAGGAAUAUUUUUUGUAAGUUAUAAAACAAUAGCGUCUGCCUUUAGCAAGUAAUCUCAAGAGAGUCACUUUCAGAGUCCAGACUGGAAGAACACUUAACUUCAAAAUAGCUCUUUACAAAUACUAAUCAGAUGGUCCACAAAACUCUCUGCCAUAUGAAAGUUAUCUUAACCCAAGUAGGGAAGUCACAGAUAGCUGUAAAUAUCUGUGUGCCUAGCUCUGUGUUAGAAGCAAUGGUGAAUGUGUGUGUGUGGGAUGGGGUGGAGUCAGUGGGUAUGUGUAGGUGUGUUGGUGGGUGGAGAAAGGCUGCAUUCAUUUAGGUGCAGGAAAAGGCUUUUUUUUUUUUCUGACCAAUUAGGUUUUUGACUGAAUGGACCAAACUGACUGUUGUGGUGUCAUGGAAACCUAGCCAUGGAAACCUUAUAGAAAUAUCAGGAGCUGAAGGGAGGGAGUGUUGAAGAAAGCAUCACAGAGAGAUUGCUACCAACUGAUUCCCAUAGAUACUAUAAAAAUAACUCCUUUUAUCUUCCCAUUUUCAGUGAGAGAAUCUCGCUAUUUGGAAAAUCAUGCUUGCUAUUCUGCAGCUUUUCUGUACAGAUAACUAAUAAACAACUUGGAAAACACUCA